CCAUAUGUCUCAAUAACUUCCAAAACGUUCUUAAAUUCUGAUAUAAUAUAUGGGACCAUAAGCUCAUCACAGAAUCUUUCAUCUUGUAUAUAUAAACACAAAAAGGUUCAAUAAAAAACAUAUAGCCAGAGAGAAAUAAACUAAGUCACUUCUAAAAAUGGCAGUUAGGGUUUAUUACAAGCAACUCCUCCUGGCAUUUCUUCUCAUCAUCUUAAUGUAUUCUCCUGCUCAAGCACAAAACACGGGAGAAAUCGUGAGGAAUAGAAAGCUAUUGGUUGUGGAGAAGGAGCCGGAGACUCAGAACUCAAGGCAAGACGGAGGAAAUGAUGGUUAUGGAUUGGUGGAUAUGGAUUAUAAUAGUGCGAACAAGAAAAGACCGAUACACAACCGCUAAUUAAUAAACACAUGUGAUGAAUUUAUCAAUUUCUUGUGAGAUAUCCCAAGAUUCUAUGAUAUCCCGAGAUUUAUAUAAUAUAUUCAACAGAAAUACUAUCAAGUAUCGGGAACUGAAAUAUUUUAUGAAUAAAAAUUAUAAAAUAUUAGUAAUCGAGUUGGUAUACAUGUAAUUUAGUAUAAUCGAGUUUAUAUAAACAUAAAAAUACAAACGAUUCUGUAUAAUAAUCAUAGUUUGUGUGUGUGUUAUAUCAUGGGUUUCGGUUUGUGAAUGAAUGUCAAUGAAUAUACUUCUUUUAUAUUGAACUAAUCAAUGGAUAUACAUAUUUUGUGUAUAUACUAUAUAUACUCUUAAUAUCUUAUGUUAAGUUUAAUGAUACAUUGUCUAUAUAAUUAUAUGUGUUGAUAAUUGAAUCGAUCAUCGUUUAUAAUACUAUAAACUCAAAUAUUUAUAAUAAUAUACCAAACAUAUUAUAUUUUUUUGUUAUAUUUUUAAUACAAACAACAAGAAACAAACAACAUGAAAACAUUAGCUCAACGGUAACUGAUCAUGCCCAUUGUGUGAGAAGUCUUUGGUCUGACUGAUUGUUUGGACAGAAUUAAUAUUACAUGAUGUUGUGGUUUUAGGCAUAGAGGAUUACAGACUUUGAUCCCGAAUUUUAUGGUAUUCAAAAAGGAUAAUAUAACAAACAACAAACAAAAAAAAUACUAAUAUAAACAACUUUCUAAUGAAUAAGCCUUGUAUGAAAAUAAUAUCAGAGAUCUAGAGAAUACUCGUCCACCAAUGCACAUAUAAACGUGUUAGAAUUCACGAGACUCACUUUAUAUCCCAAAUUCGAUGAUUCUAGUGAUCAUCAAUACUUUUUUCACAUGACAAACUGAGAUGCAAAACGCAAUAAAUUCAUGUGUUAUGUAUGAAAUAGACAUCAUAUCGAAAACGAACAAAGUAAAUCAACAAACUCAUGUGGAACCUAGUAGGCUAUAACCAAAAAUACAUAUUAUCUCGGCCCAUUAAAUAAACAUAUUAUCUCAGCCCGUUAAGUAAACGUAAUAUCGACCCAUUAAAUAAACGUAUUAUCUCGAAAUCUUUUUCUUAGUUGAUCCGUGUAAUUUGAUUGCGAACGAACUGGUACUAUGGCAAAAACUGAGAAGAUUGAAUUCGUCCUUGAACAAGUAAGACCUUGUGUUAUUUUCUCCAAAUCCUUGGCUAUGUGUUUUGUUUGUACUUUGCUGGUGCUAAUUGUUAGUGAUCUGAACUCCUCAAGGUCCGCUUGUGCUUGGAUCGACCGUGCACAAAUCCUAUCUAGGAAGAUGCUAGAGAUCUAUUGAUUCUGAGUGUAUUUAACGCAGGUACCACCAAAGAUAAAAAGAAACUAAGGAAGAUGAGAACAUUGUAGAAGCGGCUCCAGCUGAUAUACCAACAUUGUUGGAGCUAAAGCAGAUUUUACUUUUAUGCCCAACAUUGAGGCAUAUAAGUUUGAACACCAAUCUAAAUGUAACCAGCUAUAUGUUUGAAAAAAUUUCUUCAUAUUGGUUCAUUAUAUUUCAGGAAGCAGAGAAGCAUCUAUCAGAGAUGGUUGUGUGAUAUCAAAAAUCGUCAGACCAUCAGGAAUAGUCUGAUCGUUAAAGAUAGCAACGAAAUUCUAAAGUCAUGGGCAUCAAACUUGGAGAAGCUUUUAGAUCUUGGUGAGAAGAGUUGUCACCAAAUUCACAAAGAAACUAUGAUUCAUAAAGCUGGCACUAAGAGCUUGAGAAACCGUUAGCCACACACCCUCAUAUUGGAAAGAAUCUUUCAGGUUCUGUCCUAAAAAUUCUUCAUUUAACUUUUGUUGUAUUUGUUUGGUUCAGAUAACAGAGUUAAAAAAAACUCUUCUUACUUUUUACAACAAAUUUAUUAUUAUGCAAAAAAAAAAAGAAGAUAAAAUGUUGAAAAAAACAGGAAAAACAUGCAAGGCAGAAAGAAGCAAUACAAACCUAAACCUAAACCCUACAACAAGCAAUGAUCAUUCUCUUUUCUAUUUAGCUCUAUAUAGUUAAAAGAAAAGGAAAUGAAGCAAUUCCAUUAGGAGGAUGAACUAUUAUUGUAAUUAUGAUUACUUGUCUUGUCUGGUGACCAUUGUAUGUCCUGGAGAUAACCGGUUUCACUCGGUUGAACCGCUGCUGGAGAAAACAGAGGACGAGAAUGAGAAGAUGAUGACGAAGUGGAUUGCAUCAUUGAGUCUCCGGUGUAACCAAAACGCAACGGAAACGACAUUUGAUCGUACAAAUCCAUAGUUUGUUGAUUAUGUUGCUGAAACUGUUGUUGGUGGCGAGCCAUCUCUGAGUAACUCAAGUUAUACGGUUGAAUCAACGGCUGAGAGUCAACGGCAGGUCUUAGGGGCAAAAGAGUACUGGGAAGUUGAGUUUGGCUUUGUUGCCUCUGAACCGAAGAGCAGCUUCAUCGUAAGCUCUUGCAGCUGAUUCAGCGUUGUCGAACGUACCGAGCCAAACUCUAGCAGCUUUGAAAGGAUCUCGAAUUUCAGCCGCCCAUUUUCCCCACGGUCUUUGUCUCACUCCUCUGUAUCUUCUUCGAGGUUGUUGGUCCCCAUUUAACGACGACGUUUCGGUGUUAGUAGUUGUUGUAGUUGUGUACUCAUAUGUUGGGCCUGAACCUGACAUGUUGCUCGAAGCUUCUCUCACUGCAAACAAACAAACGUAUAAAAUAAGCAGUAGUAUAAAAUAAAAUUGAAUGUCUCGAAUAAUGUUAUUAUAAAAGAAAGUCCUUAUAAGAGUUGAUGAUUAUGAGAAAGUGAUGAGGCCACAAAGAGCAAUGAACAAGUAGUAAAAAGUAAAGCAAGUGGAAAACGACCCUUGAGGCAAAUGGAGGGAGAUAGAUUCUUUUGGGGCCUUUGGCAUAUAAUCAUAUCAUCAUUUUGUUAAAUAAAUACAUUGACCUUUUUAUUAUAAUUCUAAAGUAUAUAUGUCUUAGGAUAAUCAAGUACACUUUCGUUAUUUGUUAGUAUUUUAAAAUAUGUUGUCAACGCUUU